UACGAAGGGAGCUAGCGUUGUUCGGAAUCACUGGGCGUAAAGCGCACGUAGGCGGAUGUGUCAGUCAGGGGUGAAAUCCCGGAGCUCAACUUCGGAACUGCCUUUGAUACAGCACGUCUUGAGUCCGAUAGAGGUGGGUGGAAUUCCUAGUGUAGAGGUGAAAUUCGUAGAUAUUCGGAAGAACACCAGUGGCGAAGGCGACUUACUGGACGACUGUUGACGCUGAGGUGCGAAAGCGUGGGGAGCAAACAGG
rnacentral:rRNA from 1 species